AUUGAACGCUGGCGGCAGGCCUAACACAUGCAAGUCGAGCGGAUGAAGGGAGCUUGCUCCUGGAUUCAGCGGCGGACGGGUGAGUAAUGCCUAGGAAUCUGCCUGGUAGUGGGGGAUAACGUCCGGAAACGGGCGCUAAUACCGCAUACGUCCUGAGGGAGAAAGUGGGGGAUAUUCGGACCUCACGCUAUCAGAUGAGCCUAGGUCGGAUUAGCUAGUUGGUGGGGUAAAGGCCUACCAAGGCGACGAUCCGUAACUGGUCUGAGAGGAUGAUCAGUCACACUGGAACUGAGACACGGUCCAGACUCCUACGGGAGGCAGCAGUGGGGAAUAUUGGACAAUGGGCGAAAGCCUGAUCCAGCCAUGCCGCGUGUGUGAAGAAGGUCUUCGGAUUGUAAAGCACUUUAAGUUGGGAGGAAGGGCAGUAAGUUAAUACCUUGCUGUUUUGACGUUACCAACAGAAUAAGCACCGGCUAACUUCGUG
rnacentral:rRNA from 1 species